rnacentral:rRNA from 1 species
AUUGAACGCUGGCGGCAGGCCUAACACAUGCAAGUCGAACGGUAGCACAGAGAGCUUGCUCUCGGGUGACGAGUGGCGGACGGGUGAGUAAUGUCUGGGAAACUGCCAGAUGGAGGGGGAUAACUACUGGAAACGGUAGCUAAUACCGCAUAACGUCGCAAGACCAAAGUGGGGGACCUUCGGGCCUCACACCAUCGGAUGUGCCCAGAUGGGAUUAGCUAGUAGGUGGGGUAAUGGCUCACCUAGGCGACGAUCCCUAGCUGGUCUGAGAGGAUGAACAGCCACACUGGAACUGAGACACGGUCCAGACUCCUACGGGAGGCAGCAGUGGGGAAUAUUGCACAAUGGGCGCAAGCCUGAUGCAGCCAUGCCGCGUGUAUGAAGAAGGCCUUCGGGUUGUAAAGUACUUUCAGCGGGGAGGAAGGCGGUGAAGUUAAUAACUUCACCGAUUGACGUUACCCGCAGAAGAAGCACCGGCUAACUCCGUGCCAGCCGCCGCAGUAA